AACGCGAAGAACCUUACCAUCCCUUGACAUCCAGUGAAUUUUUCAGAGAUGAAUUAGUGCCUUCGGGAACACUGAGACAGGUGCUGCAUGGCUGUCGUCGGCUCGUGUUGUGAGAUGUUGGGUUAAGUCCCGCAGCGAGCGCAACCCUUAUCCUUAGUUGCCAGCACGUAAAGGUGGGAACUCUGGGGAGACUGCCGGUGAUAAACCGGAGGAAGGUGGGGACGACGUCAAGUCAUCAUGGCCCUUACGGGAUGGGCUACACACGUGCUACAAUGGCGCAUACAAAGGGCAGCAAGCCAGCGAUGGUUAGCGAAUCUCAUAAAGUGCGUCGUAGUCCGGAUCGGAGUCUGCAACUCGACUCCGUGAAGUCGGAAUCGCUAGUAAUCGUGGAUCAGAAUGCCACGGUGAAUACGUUCCCGGGCCUUGUACACACCG
rnacentral:rRNA from 1 species